ACGAACGCUGGCGGCGUGCUUAACACAUGCAAGUCGAACGGUAAGGCCCUUUCGGGGGUACACGAGUGGCGAACGGGUGAGUAACACGUGGGUGAUCUGCCCUGCACUUUGGGAUAAGCCUGGGAAACUGGGUCUAAUACCGGAUAGGACUACGCGAUGCAUGUCGUGUGGUGGAAAGCUUUUGCGGUGUGGGAUGGGCCCGCGGCCUAUCAGCUUGUUGGUGGGGUGAUGGCCUACCAAGGCGACGACGGGUAGCCGGCCUGAGAGGGUGUCCGGCCACACUGGGACUGAGAUACGGCCCAGACUCCUACGGGAGGCAGCAGUGGGGAAUAUUGCACAAUGGGCGCAAGCCUGAUGCAGCGACGCCGCGUGGGGGAUGACGGCCUUCGGGUUGUAAACCCCUUUCAGCACAGACGAAGCGUAAGUGACGGUAUGUGCAGAAGAAGCACCGGCCAACUACGU
rnacentral:rRNA from 1 species